rnacentral:rRNA from 1 species
UCCUACGGGAGGCAGCAGUGAGGAAUAUUGGGCAAUGGAGGAAAUCUGAUCCAGCCAUGCCGCGUGCAGGAAGAAUGCCCUAUGGGUGUAAACUGCUUUUAACAGGAAGAAACAUUUCCACGUGUAGAGAGCUGACG